AUUUCGUUUCGUGUUUACUGUUUUCUGUUCCAUCACAACGUCGAGUCGUGUCGUAUCAUGAUCGUGUCGUGCCCGUGUCGUGGACGUCGCAGUCGGGUGCGACCCCGAAGGACAAUUUAAUAAAGAAAGCUGAGCCGUUACCGCGCGCCGCACCGCACACUGCCCGCCCUAAUAAAGUUUGUAAAAAUAUCUGCAGACACAAUGUUAAGGCUCGACCACAUUAAAUAAUUUAAUUGUUA
rnacentral:misc_RNA from 1 species